rnacentral:tRNA from 1 species
GGCGGUGUAGCCAAGUGGAAAGGCAAAGGUCUGCAAAACCUUCAUCCUUGGUUCAAAUCCAAGCACCGCCU